rnacentral:pre_miRNA from 13 species
UUUAGCGAGAUUUUCUGUUGUGCUUGAUCUAACCAUGUGGUUGCAAGGUAUGAGUAAAACAUGGUUCUGUCAAGCACCAUGGAAAGUCACGCAGCU